GACAGAGGCCUCAAGCGUUGUCCGGAUUCAUUGGGCGUAAAGAGCGUGUAGGCGGCCAGGUAGGUCGGUUGUGAAAACUGGAGGCUCAACCUUCAGAGGUCGACCGAAACCAUCUGGCUAGAGUCCGGGAGAGGAGAGUGGAAUUCCUGGUGUAGCGGUGAAAUGCGCAGAUAUCAGGAAGAACACCCGUGGCGAAAGCGGCUCUCUGGAACGGUACUGACGCUGAGACGCGAAAGCGUGGGGAGCGAACAGG
rnacentral:rRNA from 1 species